UGUCACAUUGGUGGUCUAGAGAAAGUUGGGCUCACAAGAAGAAUAAGCCUUCUUGUUAGGUGCUAAUGGAAGCUCAACGUGCGCGUCUCAUCUUUUCUAUAUUACACGCCCACCACAGUCGCUGGCAGUGCACACAAAAAAUACCAGACUGGAGAUGGGGACUAACCAGAGGARAGCGCUUUGAUGACAAUCCAAUUGUUCCUGUCUGUUGCCACCCAGAGGGCAGCCACCGUCGGGGUGUCUGCAGCUUGUUGCCCUCCAAGAAGCAACAGCAGUAAAAACCGGAGAUCAGCUCCACUUACAUCUGUCUGUAAAUUUAGACUAUCAGAACCAGACAACUGGAGGAGCCAUGGAGCCCAGACGUUGCUUUGAAAACGUGGCGACAGAGAGGAUGAGCCUCUGUGGAUGAGGAUUAGAGACGUUUUCCCCCCUGGGGCCCGGACACUGAUGGCGGAGAGGAUGGCCAAGAACUGAAGGGAUCCUGAAGAAGYCGGGAGCUGAAAGUGGAGAACGGGUGGUGGUGUGUUGAAGCUCAGCCGAGGAGCAGGUGUAGAGAGGAUGCCGGACUGUAUUAAGGGAGCGAUGCCUGAAAAUUGGAGGAGCUAAGGAAAAGACKGGUGCCGAUAGGCUGGGAUGGAGACAUAUGAUGUGAUUGGCUGAGCAGGUGAGAUUAUGCUAGGCUUUAUAACUCACUCCAAAACAUGGCUACUGCCAUGAUUAGUUACAUUAUUUUUUGUUUUUCUGACAAAUGUUUUUGAAAUAUUUUUCACAUAUUUAAUCAAUUUGUGUUGUAUUUUUGUGGUAGUGAUGGUAAUAAAGAUAAAGACGAUGAA